GGGACCAGUGUCCAGGUAAGAAGAGAAGAGACACAGAUAUACAGAGAGACGCACAAAGAGGAAGGCCGUGUGAAGACAGAGACUGGGAUUGGAGCAACGCUGCUGGGGACAGGAAGCACACAGAGCUCCAGCAACCUGAGGAGGACAAGCCCAACAAAUUACUCUUCCUGCCUCUGCAUCUAAUCUCUUCCUUCCUGCCGCCAUCUGUGCCUGGCAGGACCUCCGCACACAGCAGCGGGGAUUCACAGAGCUACAUGACUUGAGUAAGCUGAAAAAUCUUUCCUGGCCUCCAUCAUUCCAUGUAUAAAAUUGGGAUAGUCAUAGUGGACUUCUGGAUAAGUGAUGGACUGAAUUUCAGGUCCCAGGUGGAAGCACAGAGGCACAAGAAGAAGGAAAGAACAAAAAAAAUUGGGAACAGGGCAAGGAUGCUUCAUCUCACCACUUCUAUUCAGCACCGUACUGGAAUUCCCAUCCCAGUUAAUGCAUGAAGACAUGAAAAGGAAAUGACAGAACAUAACCGGAGUGUGUCCACAUAGACGAGCCCUUGGUGCACGGUGACAGCUGUCUGCCUGGUCUUCUCUGAUCUUGUGGCAUAAUCUCCAACUCAGAAACAGCCAUCUUUACCCAACGGGAGCAGGAGCCAUCAGACACUGUUUCUUACCUUUCCUUGCCUGGACAGUUCUGAGAUACUUCAUUAAACUUGUCAGAAGCUUGCACAAAUCGGAGCCCCAUUUCCCUAAGGGUUUCCAAUGCCUCAAGGAGGAUGCCUCACUGGGGAAACCCCACCAAGGCUGCUGGUAAUAAAAGACACAGGACCUGAAAGUGCAGAGAAGUUACUGCCUUGUCCCACCCUUGACUAAGGGGAAUAGAAGAUAUAGAAUAGAUGUUUUCACUUCUUUUCCUUUAACCGUUCUGAGGUUUAUUUCCUAAAUCUUCUAAGAAAGUCCCACAGAAUUGAGUGUCAUUGCCUGUAAUAUGGACUGACUUGAUAGCACACCCUUGUGUGUUUUCCCUCCUUCCAUCUUUCACUCUCUGUCCCUUGUCUUGUCUCCUGGGACCACUGUCUAA